rnacentral:rRNA from 1 species
GGGUUGUGAGGUUAAGCGACUAAGCGUACACGGUGGAUGCCCUGGCAGUCAGAGGCGAUGAAGGACGUGCUAAUCUGCGAUAAGCGUCGGUAAGGUGAUAUGAACCGUUAUAACCGGCGAUUUCCGAAUGGGGAAACCCAGUGUGUUUCGACACACUAUCAUUAACUGAAUCCAUAGGUUAAUGAGGCGAACCGGGGGAACUGAAACAUCUAAGUACCCCGAGGAAAAGAAAUCAACCGAGAUUCCCCCAGUAGCGGCGAGCGAACGGGGAGGAGCCCAGAGCCUGAAUCAGUGUGUGUGUUAGUGGAAGCGUCUGGAAAGGCGCGCGAUACAGGGUGACAGCCCCGUACACAAAAAUGCACAUGCUGUGAGCUCGAUGAGUAGGGCGGGACACGUGGUAUCCUGUCUGAAUAUGGGGGGACCAUCCUCCAAGGCUAAAUACUCCUGACUGACCGAUAGUGAACCAGUACCGUGAGGGAAAGGCGAAAAGAACCCCGGCGAGGGGAGUGAAAAAGAACCUGAAACCGUGUACGUACAAGCAGUGGGAGCACGCUUAGGCGUGUGACUGCGUACCUUUUGUAUAAUGGGUCAGCGACUUAUAUUCUGUAGCAAGGUUAACCGAAUAGGGGAGCCGAAGGGAAACCGAGUCUUAACUGGGCGUUAAGUUGCAGGGUAUAGACCCGAAACCCGGUGAUCUAGCCAUGGGCAGGUUGAAGGUUGGGUAACACUAACUGGAGGACCGAACCGACUAAUGUUGAAAAAUUAGCGGAUGACUUGUGGCUGGGGGUGAAAGGCCAAUCAAACCGGGAGAUAGCUGGUUCUCCCCGAAAGCUAUUUAGGUAGCGCCUCGUGAAUUCAUCUCCGGGGGUAGAGCACUGUUUCGGCAAGGGGGUCAUCCCGACUUACCAACCCGAUGCAAACUGCGAAUACCGGAGAAUGUUAUCACGGGAGACACACGGCGGGUGCUAACGUCCGUCGUGAAGAGGGAAACAACCCAGACCGCCAGCUAAGGUCCCAAAGUCAUGGUUAAGUGGGAAACGAUGUGGGAAGGCCCAGACAGCCAGGAUGUUGGCUUAGAAGCAGCCAUCAUUUAAAGAAAGCGUAAUAGCUCACUGGUCGAGUCGGCCUGCGCGGAAGAUGUAACGGGGCUAAACCAUGCACCGAAGCUGCGGCAGCGACGCUUAUGCGUUGUUGGGUAGGGGAGCGUUCUGUAAGCCUGUGAAGGUGUGCUGUGAGGCAUGCUGGAGGUAUCAGAAGUGCGAAUGCUGACAUAAGUAACGAUAAAGCGGGUGAAAAGCCCGCUCGCCGGAAGACCAAGGGUUCCUGUCCAACGUUAAUCGGGGCAGGGUGAGUCGACCCCUAAGGCGAGGCCGAAAGGCGUAGUCGAUGGGAAACAGGUUAAUAUUCCUGUACUUGGUGUUACUGCGAAGGGGGGACGGAGAAGGCUAUGUUGGCCGGGCGACGGUUGUCCCGGUUUAAGCGUGUAGGCUGGUUUUCCAGGCAAAUCCGGAAAAUCAAGGCUGAGGCGUGAUGACGAGGCACUACGGUGCUGAAGCAACAAAUGCCCUGCUUCCAGGAAAAGCCUCUAAGCAUCAGGUAACAUCAAAUCGUACCCCAAACCGACACAGGUGGUCAGGUAGAGAAUACCAAGGCGCUUGAGAGAACUCGGGUGAAGGAACUAGGCAAAAUGGUGCCGUAACUUCGGGAGAAGGCACGCUGAUAUGUAGGUGAAGUCCCUCGCGGAUGGAGCUGAAAUCAGUCGAAGAUACCAGCUGGCUGCAACUGUUUAUUAAAAACACAGCACUGUGCAAACACGAAAGUGGACGUAUACGGUGUGACGCCUGCCCGGUGCCGGAAGGUUAAUUGAUGGGGUCAGCGCAAGCGAAGCUCUUGAUCGAAGCCCCGGUAAACGGCGGCCGUAACUAUAACGGUCCUAAGGUAGCGAAAUUCCUUGUCGGGUAAGUUCCGACCUGCACGAAUGGCGUAAUGAUGGCCAGGCUGUCUCCACCCGAGACUCAGUGAAAUUGAACUCGCUGUGAAGAUGCAGUGUACCCGCGGCAAGACGGAAAGACCCCGUGAACCUUUACUAUAGCUUGACACUGAACAUUGAGCCUUGAUGUGUAGGAUAGGUGGGAGGCUUUGAAGUGUGGACGCAAGUCUGCAUGGAGCCGACCUUGAAAUACCACCCUUUAAUGUUUGAUGUUCUAACGUGGACCCGUAAUCCGGGUUGCGGACAGUGUCUGGUGGGUAGUUUGACUGGGGCGGUCUCCUCCUAAAGAGUAACGGAGGAGCACGAAGGUUGGCUAAUCCUGGUCGGACAUCAGGAGGUUAGUGCAAUGGCAUAAGCCAGCUUGACUGCGAGCGUGACGGCGCGAGCAGGUGCGAAAGCAGGUCAUAGUGAUCCGGUGGUUCUGAAUGGAAGGGCCAUCGCUCAACGGAUAAAAGGUACUCCGGGGAUAACAGGCUGAUACCGCCCAAGAGUUCAUAUCGACGGCGGUGUUUGGCACCUCGAUGUCGGCUCAUCACAUCCUGGGGCUGAAGUAGGUCCCAAGGGUAUGGCUGUUCGCCAUUUAAAGUGGUACGCGAGCUGGGUUUAGAACGUCGUGAGACAGUUCGGUCCCUAUCUGCCGUGGGCGCUGGAGAACUGAGGGGGGCUGCUCCUAGUACGAGAGGACCGGAGUGGACGCAUCACUGGUGUUCGGGUUGUCAUGCCAAUGGCACUGCCCGGUAGCUAAAUGCGGAAGAGAUAAGUGCUGAAAGCAUCUAAGCACGAAACUUGCCCCGAGAUGAGUUCUCCCUGACCCUUUAAGGGUCCUGAAGGAACGUUGAAGACGACGACGUUGAUAGGCCGGGUGUGUAAGCGCAGCGAUGCGUUGAGCUAACCGGUACUAAUGAACCGUGAGGCUUAACCUUACAACGCCGAAGCUGUU